rnacentral:rRNA from 1 species
AGAGUUUGAUCCUGGCUCAGGAUGAGCGCUAGCGGCAGGCCUAAUACAUGCAAGUCGAGGGGUAAGGUUUACUUCGGUAAACACACGACCGGCGCACGGGUGCGUAACGCGUAUGCAACCUGCCUAUAACUGGAGAAUAGCCCCGAGAAAUCGGGAUUAAUACUCCAUAACGAUAUUUUGAGACAUCUCUUUAUAUUUAAAGUUCCGGCGGUUAUAGAUGGGCAUGCGUGACAUUAGUUUGUUGGUGAGGUAACGGCUCACCAAGACUUCGAUGUCUAGGGGUUCUGAGAGGAAGAUCCCCCACACUGGUACUGAGACACGGACCAGACUCCUACGGGAGGCAGCAGUAAGGAAUAUUGCGCAAUGGAGGAAACUCUGACGCAGCCAUGCCGCGUGAAGGAUGAAGGCCUUAUGGGUCGUAAACUUCUUUUGUUAGGGAAUAAACCUCCACUCGUGAGUGGAGCUGAAGGUACCUAAAGAAUAAGCACCGGCUAACUCCGUGCCAGCAGCCGCGGUAAUACGGAGGGUGCAAGCGUUAUCCGGAUUCAUCGGGUUUAAAGGGUGCGCAGGCGGACUUUUAAGUCAGUGGUGAAAUCCCGGGGCUCAACCCCGGAACUGCCAUUGAUACUGGAAGUCUUGAAUUUGGUUGAAGUGGGCGGAAUGUAGCAUGUAGCGGUGAAAUGCUUAGAUAUGCUACAGAACACCGAUCGCGAAGGCAGCUCACUAAGCCAAUAUUGACGCUCAGGCACGAAAGCGUGGGGAGCGAACAGGAUUAGAUACCCUGGUAGUCCACGCCGUAAACUAUGAUCACUCGUUGUUGGCAAUACACAGUCAGUGACUAAGGGAAACCGAUAAGUGAUCCACCUGGGGAGUACGAUCGCAAGGUUGAAACUCAAAGGAAUUGACGGGGGCCCGCACAAGCGGUGGAGCAUGUGGUUUAAUUCGAUGAUACGCGAGGAACCUUACCUGGGCUCAAAUGUAGAGUGACAACCCCUGAAAGGGGGCUUUCUUCGGACACUUUACAAGGUGCUGCAUGGUUGUCGUCAGCUCGUGCCGUGAGGUGUCGGGUUAAGUCCCAUAACGAGCGCAACCCCUACUCUUAGUUGCCAGCAUGUAAUGAUGGGGACUCUAAGAGAACUGCCUACGCAAGUAGAGAGGAAGGUGGGGAUGACGUCAAAUCAGCACGGCCCUUACGUCCAGGGCUACACACGUGCUACAAUGGCCGGUACAGAGGGCAGCCACCACGCGAGUGGGAGCAAAUCUCCAAAGCCGGCCUCAGUUCGGAUCGAAGUCUGCAACCCGACUUCGUGAAGCUGGAAUCGCUAGUAAUCGCGCAUCAGCCAUGGCGCGGUGAAUACGUUCCCGGGCCUUGUACACACCGCCCGUCACACCAUGGGAGUGGGUUGCAAAAGAAGUAGGUAGUCUAACCUUCGGGAGGACGCUUACCACUUUGUGGUUCAUGACUGGGGUGAAGUCGUAACAAGGUA